GCCAGCCUGGCUCAGUCAGUAAAGCAUGAGACUCUUGAUUUCAGGGCCUGAGUUCAAACCCCAGGUUGGGCU
rnacentral:tRNA from 1 species